UACAGAGGUCCCGAGCGUUGUUCGGAAUCACUGGGCGUAAAGGGUGCGUAGGCGGGUCUUUAAGUCAGGGGGGAAAUCCUGGAGCUCAACUCCAGAACUGCCUUUGAUACUGAGGAUCUUGAGUUCGGGAGAGGUGAGUGGAACUGCGAGUGUAGAGGUGAAAUUCGUAGAUAUUCGCAAGAACACCAGUGGCGAAGGCGGCUCACUGGCCCGAUACUGACGCUGAGGCACGAAAGCGUGGGGAGCAAACAGG
rnacentral:rRNA from 1 species